rnacentral:lncRNA from 1 species
UUUCGGCUGUUGUUGGCUGGGAACAUUUUCGGAACCAAGCACUCCUCCCCAUUGAAGAACACUUUUGUGGGGAACCCAUCUCCUGCGGCCAUGUUAAGGCCUUGUAUGUUCUUCUUUGUAAAUGAGAUCACAGAUUGCUGUUUUCCAGGUACUCGUGGAUCCUUCACUGGGUUCGGCCCGUCUGUUUCUCCCACAAGAUAGUUAAGUCCAGGAUGACCCUGCAUAAAGAUGGUAUUGUUCAAACCAUCCAAUUCCAAGGUGGUUGCAUUGAAUGAGUACAUUGCCUGGAAACCAGGUGCUGCUUUGUUCAUCUGAACUGCAGCAAACCAAUCUGCAAAAUUCACUUCGCCCCAGUUGAAGAGAGUGAUCCUUGCACUCCAUCCAUCUCUAUAAUCAGUAUACAGAUGCCAAUUGAUGCUGACACCGCAGUUAUCCGCACAAGGCAUCGGGUUAGGAGAUGGGUAAUGUUUAAG